rnacentral:rRNA from 1 species
AGAGUUUGAUCCUGGCUCAGAUUGAACGCUGGCGGCAUGCCUUACACAUGCAAGUCGAACGGCAGCACGGGAGCUUGCUCCUGGUGGCGAGUGGCGAACGGGUGAGUAAUAUAUCGGAACGUACCCUAGAGUUGGGGAUAACGUAGCGAAAGUUACGCUAAUACCGCAUACGAUCUACGGAUGAAAGUGGGGGAUCGCAAGACCUCAUGCUCAUGGAGCGGCCGAUAUCUGAUUAGCUAGUUGGUGGGGUAAAAGCUCACCAAGGCGACGAUCAGUAGCUGGUCUGAGAGGACGACCAGCCACACUGGAACUGAGACACGGUCCAGACUCCUACGGGAGGCAGCAGUGGGGAAUUUUGGACAAUGGGCGCAAGCCUGAUCCAGCAAUGCCGCGUGAGUGAAGAAGGCCUUCGGGUUGUAAAGCUCUUUUGUCAGGGAAGAAACGGUUCGGGCUAAUAUCCUGUGCUAAUGACGGUACCUGAAGAAUAAGCACCGGCUAACUACGUGCCAGCAGCCGCGGUAAUACGUAGGGUGCAAGCGUUAAUCGGAAUUACUGGGCGUAAAGCGUGCGCAGGCGGUUGUGCAAGACAGAUGUGAAAUCCCCGGGCUCAACCUGGGAAUUGCAUUUGUGACUGCACGGCUAGAGUGUGUCAGAGGGGGGUAGAAUUCCACGUGUAGCAGUGAAAUGCGUAGAGAUGUGGAGGAAUACCGAUGGCGAAGGCAGCCCCCUGGGAUAACACUGACGCUCAUGCACGAAAGCGUGGGGAGCAAACAGGAUUAGAUACCCUGGUAGUCCACGCCCUAAACGAUGUCUACUAGUUGUCGGGUCUUAAUUGACUUGGUAACGCAGCUAACGCGUGAAGUAGACCGCCUGGGGAGUACGGUCGCAAGAUUAAAACUCAAAGGAAUUGACGGGGACCCGCACAAGCGGUGGAUGAUGUGGAUUAAUUCGAUGCAACGCGAAAAACCUUACCUACCCUUGACAUGUCUGGAAUCCUUGAGAGAUCAGGGAGUGCUCGAAAGAGAAUCAGAACACAGGUGCUGCAUGGCUGUCGUCAGCUCGUGUCGUGAGAUGUUGGGUUAAGUCCCGCAACGAGCGCAACCCUUGUCAUUAGUUGCUACGAAAGGGCACUCUAAUGAGACUGCCGGUGACAAACCGGAGGAAGGUGGGGAUGACGUCAAGUCCUCAUGGCCCUUAUGGGUAGGGCUUCACACGUCAUACAAUGGUACAUACAGAGGGCCGCCAACCCGCGAGGGGGAGCUAAUCCCAGAAAGUGUAUCGUAGUCCGGAUUGUAGUCUGCAACUCGACUACAUGAAGUUGGAAUCGCUAGUAAUCGCGGAUCAGCAUGUCGCGGUGAAUACGUUCCCGGGUCUUGUACACACCGCCCGUCACACCAUGGGAGCGGGUUUCACCAGAAGUGGGUAGCCUAACCGCAAGGAGGGCGCUCACCACGGUGGGAUUCGUGACUGGGGUGAAGUCGUAACAAGGUA